UGCAGUCGAGCGGACAGAUGGGAGCUUGCUCCCUGAUGUUAGCGGCGGACGGGUGAGUAACACGUGGGUAACCUGCCUGUAAGACUGGGAUAACUCCGGGAAACCGGGGCUAAUACCGGAUGCUUGAUUGAACCGCAUGGUUCAAUUAUAAAAGGUGGCUUUUAGCUACCACUUACAGAUGGACCCGCGGCGCAUUAGCUAGUUGGUGAGGUAACGGCUCACCAAGGCAACGAUGCGUAGCCGACCUGAGAGGGUGAUCGGCCACACUGGGACUGAGACACGGCCCAAACUCCUACGGGAGGCAGCAGUAGGGAAUCUUCCGCAAUGGACGAAAGUCUGACGGAGCAACGCCGCGUGAGUGAUGAAGGUUUUCGGAUCGUAAAACUCUGUUGUUAGGGAAGAACAAGUACCGUUCGAAUAGGGCGGUACCUUGACGGUACCUAACCAGAAAGCCACGGCUAACUACGUGCCAGCAGCCGCGGUAAUACGUAGGUGGCAAGCGUUGUCCGGAAUUAUUGGGCGUAAAGCGCGCGCAGGCGGGUUUCUUAAGUCUGAUGUGAAAGCCCCCGGCUCAACCGGGGAGGGUCAUUGGAAACUGGGGAACUUGAGUGCAGAAAAGGAAAGUGGAAUUCCACGUGUAGCGGUGAAAUGCGUAAAGAUGUGGAGGAACACCAGUGGCGAAGGCGACUCUCUGGUCUGUAACUGACGCUGAGGCGCGAAAGCGUGGGGAGCGAACAGGAUUAGAUACCCUGGUAGUCCACGCCGUAAACGAUGAG
rnacentral:rRNA from 1 species